rnacentral:rRNA from 1 species
GACGUAGGGGGCAAGCGUUGUCCGGAAUUAUUGGGCGUAAAGCGCUCGUAGGCGGAUCGACAAGUCUGCGAAGAAAGACCCGGGCUCAACUCGGGGAACGGCGUAGAUACUGUCGACCUUGAGACAAUCAGAGGGUGAUGGAAUUCCCGGUGUAGCGGUGAAAUGCGUAGAUAUCGGGAGGUACACCAGUGGCGAAGGCGAUCACCUGGGGUUGUUCUGACGCUGAGGAGCGAAAGCUAGGGGAGCAAACGGG